AGCGAACGCUGGCGGCAGGCCUAACACAUGCAAGUCGAACGAAGCCUUCGGGCUUAGUGGCGGACGGGUGAGUAACACGUGGGAACGUACCUUUUGGUUCGGAAUAACGCGGAGUAAUUUGCGCUAAUACCGAAUGAGCCCUUCGGGGGAAAGAUUUAUCGCCGAAAGAUCGGCCCGCGUUGGAUUAGGUAGUUGGGGGGGUAAAGGCGCACCAAGCCUACGAUCCAUAGCUGGUCUGAGAGGAUGAUCAGACACACUGGGACUGAGAAACGGCCCAGACUCCUACGGGAGGCAGAAGUGGGGAAUCUUGCGCAAUGGGCGAAAGCCUGACGCAGCCAUGCCGCGUGAAUGAUGAAGGUCUUAGGAUUGUAAAAUUCUUUUACCAGGGACGAUAAUGACGGUACCUGGAGAAAAAGCCCCGGCUAACUUCGUGCCAGCCGCCGCGGUAACAC
rnacentral:rRNA from 1 species